GAUUAACGCUGGCGGCGUGCAUAACACAUGCAAGUCGAACGAUGAAACUUUAAUGAACCCUUCGGGGAGAAUUAAAGCGGAUUAGUGGCGAACGGGUGAGUAACGCGUGAGUAACCUGCCUUACACAAGGGGAUAGCCUUUGGAAACGAAGAAUAAUACCCUAUAAAACCAUAAAAGCACAUGCAAUUAUGGUCAAAGUGAUAGCGGUGUAAGAUGGACUUGCGUCUGAUUAGCUAGUUGGUGAGAUAAAAGCCCACCAAGGCAACGAUCAGUAGCCGGCUUGAGAGAGUGUACGGCCACAUUGGGACUGAGACGCGGCCCAG
rnacentral:rRNA from 1 species